rnacentral:rRNA from 1 species
GAUGAACGCUGGCGGCGUGCCUAAUACAUGCAAGUAGAACGCUGAAGCUUGGUGCUUGCACCGAGCAGAGGAGUUGCGAACGGGUGAGUAACGCGUAGGUAACCUGCCUCUUAGCGGGGGAUAACUAUUGGAAACGAUAGCUAAUACCGCAUAAAAGUCGACAUUGCAUGAUGUUGACUUGAAAGGUGCAACUGCAUCACUAAGAGAUGGACCUGCGUUGUAUUAGCUAGUUGGUGAGGUAACGGCUCACCAAGGCGACGAUACAUAGCCGACCUGAGAGGGUGAUCGGCCACACUGGGACUGAGACACGGCCCAGACUCCUACGGGAGGCAGCAGUAGGGAAUCUUCGGCAACGGACGGAAGUCUGACGGAGCAACGCCGCGUGAGUGAAGAAGGUCUUCGGAUCGUAAAGCUCUGUUGUUAGAGAAGAACAGCGCAUAGAGUAACUGCUAUGCGUGUGACGGUAUCUAACCAGAAAGCCACGGCUAACUACGUGC